AAGCGCAAGAGCAAGCGUACGAAGGCGUACACGGCGGCCGAGGAGAAGCUUCUUUGCGAGUGUUGGCGAGACAUUGGACAAGACCCCAAGACGGGCGCUGAGCAAAAACAUUCAACCUUUUGGAUUCGUGUCCACCGAGAGUUUCAUGAGCGCAAAAAGUUUCCGCCGUACCAAUUUGUGAUCACGCGCGGGUGGGUCUCCAUUUCUAAGCGGUGGAGGGUGAUCCAACAAGAGUGCAACAAGUUUUGCGCCGCUCUUGAGAGCGUCAAGGCCCGCCCCGUGAGCGGCAUCGGCAUGCAAGACAUGGUAUGCUAG
rnacentral:rRNA from 1 species